rnacentral:rRNA from 1 species
UAGGGGAGCCGUAGGGAAACCGAGUCUUAACCGGGCGUUAAGUUGCAGGGUAUAGACCCGAAACCCGGUGAUCUAGCCAUGGGCAGGUUGAAGGUUGGGUAACACUAACUGGAGGACCGAACCGACUAAUGUUGAAAAAUUAGCGGAUGACCUGUGGCUGGGGGUGAAAGGCCAAUCAAACCGGGAGAUAGCUGGUUCUCCCCGAAAGCUAUUUAGGUAGCGCCUCGUGAAUUCAUCUCCGGGGGUAGAGCACUGUUUCGGCUAGGGGGCCAUCCCGGCUUACCAACCCGAUGCAAACUGCGAAUACCGGAGAAUGUUAUCACGGGAGACACACGGCGGGUGCUAACGUCCGUCGUGAAGAGGGAAACAACCCAGACCGCCAGCUAAGGUCCCAAAGUCAUGGUUAAGUGGGAAACGAUGUGGGAAGGCCCAGACAGCCAGGAUGUUGGCUUAGAAGCAGCCAUCAUUUAAAGAAAGCGUAAUAGCUCACUGGUCGAGUCGGCCUGCGCGGAAGAUGUAACGGGGCUAAACCAUGCACCGAAGCUGCGGCAGCGAACGUAUCACUUAAAGCGAUUCAGCGGGUUACGAUUGACGGAGCGAAGCGAC